GACGUAGGGCGCGAGCGUUGUCCGGAUUUAUUGGGCGUAAAGAGCUCGUAGGCGGCUUGUCGCGUCGACUGUGAAAACCCGCGGCUCAACUGCGGGCUUGCAGUCGAUACGGGCGAGGCUAGAGUUCGGUAGGGGAGACUGGAAUUCCUGGUGUAGCGGUGAAAUGCGUAGAUAUCUGGAGGAACACCGGUGGCGAAGGCGGCAUCCUGGACCAACACUGACGCUGAGGAGGCGAAAAGCCAGGGGAGCAAACGGG
rnacentral:rRNA from 1 species